rnacentral:rRNA from 1 species
AUGGCGCCGCGCCAUCAUCGUAAUUCCUAUUUCGCCGAUUCUGGCAUUCUCUGCGUUAGUUGCAGCAUAGACGUGCUUGUAGAAGCUUCAGACUGCCAUCGUUGUAACUUCCCACCUCACCGGUUCCGGCACCGGCGUCGACCGGUUUCCAGCCAAAUCAGAUGCUGGUUGCAGCAUCACGCCAGGCCGGUUCGAGCACCGCCGCCGGCCGGUUCCACCAAAUCUGCUGCUGGUUGUAGCAAGCCGCCAACCGGUUCCAGCAAAUCCCCUGCUAGUUGCAGCAAGCCGCCGACCAGUUACAACACCGCCGGCGGCCGGUUUGAAUUCUCCCGCUGCCCGGUUGUGACACUGCUUGUGGUAACGCCUACGCCCCCUGAGGCCCUCCGACCUCCUCCUCCUCCUCCUGAACCUAAUGGCUCUCCCCUCUUCCUCCUCUCCCCAUCCCCCUCGCGGCGGCCUCGGUGGCUGGCGAAGCUCCGGCGGCGCCCUGGCCUAGUGGUCCCCCCUCCUCCCCAUCCCCUCCUCGCUCCCCUCUGGGCUCCGCUCCGGCUCAUGGCGCAGCCCUCCCCUGCCCUCUGGCCUCGACUCCUCGCCCUGUCCUCUUCGCCCAUCUUCGGGCUAACAAGUUUUGGGCUCUUGAUUCUGACGGAUCUGGCUCGGAUUCUGAGGCGCCCUCUCCCCCACCUUGCUCGACCCCGGUGUGCUCUCCCCCUGUGGCUGCGGCGGGUGCUCGCUGACGCAAGUUCGCGCCCGGUGGGCGGGGGCGGCCUGUCCGGUCUGCCGUGGAGUCGGAUGGCUGGCGCCGCUCCGCCUCGCCCUCUCCGGUGGCAUCGCGUGCGGGCGCGCCCGAGCCCGUCCUCCGCCUCCUUGGCGGCGCCGGAGUCGGCCCCAACCCUAGAUCUGGGUUUGGGGGCGGCGUUGGUGCCCCCUCCUGUGGCGCGGGCCCCGGUGGGCCUUGCUGGGCCUGGUGGGCCGGCUUCGCCCUUGGCCUUGGCUUCUCUUUCUGAAUUCCCCCCUCCCUUCUGUGGACCCUGGGCUGCGGACGGCCCAGGUGCGGCUCCCCCAUUCCUAGGGUUUCCAACCUCCUCUUCUGAUCUGCGCCGCUUUCGCUUCCCAAUCCGUCGCUUCAUCAGAUCUGCUCCUCCUCCUCCCCUCUCCCUCCCCUUUGCUGUGGUGGUGGCGAUGGAUCGAUCCCGCGCGUCCUCAAGUGAGGCGGUCUCCGGGCAGAAGCGGGGCCGUGGUGGAUCUGGCGACGCAGAUCUGGAAUAUGAGGCGGCUCUUCGCGCGAAGCUUCAGGCCUCGAUCGCUCCAGAGGCGGGGUCGGCGACGGUGUCCGUUGGCUCUCCCCGUGCUUCUGGGUCGGGCCUUUCGGCUCCUCCCCCCUGCUUCUGCUGGGAGGGUUCGUCGGGGCCCGCCCUGGCGCCCUCUUCGCUGGGUGCCGCUCCCCGGGGCGGCGCCCCGGUGCGUUCUCAGGUGGGGGGUGGGUCGUCCCGUUUCUUCCCCAGAGGCACGUCGGGGGCCCCGGUUCGGCGUCCUGCUGGCCCCGUGGUGGGGCGGGGCUCCGGCUCUGGGCCUGCUGCGGGUGGGGAUGGUAUCCUCCCUCCUUCUCCUCGCGGUCACAUCCCUCUCCAAUCUCAGGUCUCCAACCCCAUCCUCACCUGUUUUGCAUGUCAUCGCCCUGUCCACUUCCAAUCUCGGUGUGAAAAUCCUCCCUUCUGCCUCAUCUGCCGGGAAGAUGGCCACCUUACGGUGGACUGUAGAAUCAUGGAGAUCCCUGAGGCCGCCCCCAUCCCUUCGCUGUCCAAUGUUGGUAUUAUCUCUGUUCAGGAUAAACACAUCUUCCCUCAGAUUCUUCUGGACGAGCUCAAGGUCUGGUACGAGGGUGGAUGGGAUUGGCAGAUCUGCCAGCUCUCCGAGUUCGAGUUUGCAGCGACCUUCCCCUCUAAAGAGAGUCUCCGGAUGAUAUCUUCUUGCUCUAGCUUCACUCUCCCCUUGAAUCAACUCACGGUCUCGGUUAAAGCUGCCUCUAAUGGAUCCAAGUCUAUAUCCUCCUUGUCUGAUGUUUGGGUGCUGGUAGAAGAUGUUCCUCCGUCCAUGCGCACCUCGGCGUUCCUGAUGGCUUUCGGAGUUCUUAUUGGCAAGCCCAUUGAGGUUGACCAAGAUUCUCUGGCGAUCUUGGGGCCGGCCCGGCUCCGAAUUUGGUGUGUUGACCCCCUGUGCAUUCACGGCUCCCUUGAUGUCUUCCCGUCGGUGGGUGGCUCCCGCCUUCGUGUGCAGGUGGAGGGGGCCUCAGGCCUGGCGUCGCCCCCUCCUCCUCCAUCGCCUCCAGCCUUUGACAAUGGAGACAAGAGCAAGGAGCGGGGUGGCUGCCCCGAGGAUUCCUUGCAUGGGUCCGAUCCCCGGUUCACCCAGUCGGAGUGGGAUGGCCUCUCACCCGAAGAUCAGGACAUGCUCAAGGAGAGCGCGCCGGCUGGCAAGAGGGUCCAGGGCUCGGCGCAGGUUUUGUGUGGAGGAGAGGCGGCUGCUGGCGGGACCAUGGGCACGCCUUUCUCUGCGGUGUGCUCCAACCUCCCCGCCCGCCCCGCGUCUCCCUCCCUGUCAGGCAUUGAAGACCUCCCCUCGUCGGGUUCUGCGGCGAUCCAAAAGAAGAAGAAAUCGUCUGUUAAGAAGUUCUCUGCCAAGAGCCGCGCCUCUGGUGACUCCAGGCAAUCUGCGGCUGGGCUGUGCCGCCGGCUGGAGGCUGACUUGGGUCUGGCCUCGGGUCCGUCUUCCGCUGCGGCCUCUCCCAGUCGCGCGCGUCCUGUCCCUGUUUAUUCUCCGGCGUCCACGGCUCGUAAGAGUGGCCGUGUCUCCAACAGUGGCGAGCGGGUGGUCGAUCGGGCUGCUCGUCAUGCGGCGGCUCGGGUUCUGCCUCCUGCAGAUUCUAGUUUGGGUUCUCCUUCAUCCUUUCUUGGUAUCAUUAGGGCAAUGAAAUCGCUCAGGCAGACAUUGCGAGAGCCAAGGAGGCUAGGGAGGGUUUGGGUGCCCCACUGGUGGUGGCUGGUGGGGACGGGGGGGGGGGAUGAUAGGAGUCAUGCUCCCCCGAGGGUGUCUAAACGUGGGGCAGGGAAACGAUCAAAAUCCUGCGUCGCCCCGAGCAGAGGUUUCUGUGCUAGGGGGCGCAGAGACCAACUUAAGGACCUACUUCGAUCUGAGAAUGUGGAUUUUAUUGGCCUUGUCGAGACUUUCAAAUCUUCCUUUUCUGCUAGUGAAUUAUCGGCUAUUGCUGGGAUAGAUAGAUUUCAUUGGAAUUUUGUGGCCUCGGCUGGUCACUCGGAAGGGUUUCUGCUUGGAUGCAAGAAAGAUACUUUUGAUUUUGUGGCUUUCGAUCAUGGCAUUUUCUGGGCUAGCAUGGUGGUCUCCAUUCGCUCCCUCAACUCCUUAGUAGAAAUAUUAGUGAUUUAUGGUCCGGUGGAUCAUGCUAUGUCUUAUGCCUUUUUAGAUGAGCUUUCUAUUAAGAUUGAAUCUUGCCAGUUUCCGCUGUUGAUUGGGGGUGAUUUUAAUUUGCUUCGUGUCCCCUCCGACAAGAGCUCUCCUAACUUCUCGUGGCCCCUUGCUGAUGCGUUCAAUGGCUUCAUUAGGGAUAUGGCUAUUCGUGAGGUACCUAGGGUCGGAGCCCGGACUUCUGACCCACCGGUCAUUAUGCAGCAUGUGGUCUCCUUCUUCGCUAACCUUCUUGCGGCUAAACCCGUGCUUGGCUUCAAGCUGGCUGCGAACUUCUGGGCCCCCCCUAUGCUCGCUUCCGCUUCUGGUGGCUCUCAAUUCUGGCGCCAGCUAGUUAGCAUCAGACCGGCUUUUCAGUCCCUUGUCAAGUUUGUUGUUCGUAAUGGUAAGUCCACGCGUUUUUGGUUAGACUGGUGGGUUGGUGACACCAUGCUGGCGAUGGCCUACCCGACUCUGUUCUCGUUUUGUGCGGACCCUGAGAUCUCUAUCUUUGAGCUCUCGGCUCACGGUUGGGUUCUUGAUUUCCGGCGCUCUCUUUCCCCAGUAGAGUUGGAAGAUUGGCAUCGUCUUAUUGCCUGCUUCCCCCUGCUCUCGGAGGAAGAGGACUCCGUGGUUUGGCCCCAUGCCUCUUCGGGGCGUUUUUCGGUUAAGUCGGCUUAUUUGAAACUUAUCGCUGGGUCCCGCAUGGAUAAGUUUAAGUCCAUUUGGUUUGCCCGCAUCCCUCCCAAGAUCAAGAUCUUCCUAUGGCAAGCUUACCGUCGCAAACUUCCUGCGGCUGACCAGAUUAAGAAGAGGAAUGGUCCGGGCUCGGAAUACUGUCAACUUUGCGGUGCCCUUGAGAACACUGAGCAUAUCUUUUUCCACGGUUCCUUGGCUAAAUUCACAUGGAGUUGUAUUAGAUGUUGGCUUGGGGUUAAUUGGUACCCAUCCUCCUUUGGUGAUUUGAGGCAGUGCAUCAACUCCCUAAAUGAAUUCUACGGCGUCUACCCUGCUGCAGCUCUCUAG